GAUGAACGCUAGCGGGAGGCCUAACACAUGCAAGCCGAGCGGUAUUGUUUCUUCGGAAAUGAGAGAGCGGCGUACGGGUGCGGAACACGUGUGCAACCUGCCUUUAUCUGGGGGAUAGCCUUUCGAAAGGAAGAUUAAUACUCCAUAACAUAUUGAACGGCAUCGUUUAAUAUUGAAAGCUCCGGCGGAUAGAGAUGGGCACGCGCAAGAUUAGCUAGUUGGUGAGGUAACGGCUCACCAAGGCGAUGAUCUUUAGGGGCCUGAGAGGGUGAUCCCCCACACUGGUAAUGAGACACGGACCAGACUCCUACGGGAGGCAGCAGUGAGGAAUAUUGGUCAAUGGGUGCAAGCUUGAACCAGCCAUCCCGCGUGAAGGACGACUGCCCUAUGGGUUGUAAACUUCUUUUGUAUAGGGAUAAACCUACCCUCGUGAGGGUAGCUGAAGGUACUAUACGAAUAAGCACCGGCUAACUCCGUGCCAGCCGCCGCCGUAACAC
rnacentral:rRNA from 1 species